UAGGAUUUGGUGUAUUGGUAGCACGGAGAAUUUGGAUUCUCAAGAUAGGUUCAAGUCCUAAUGUCCUAG
rnacentral:tRNA from 1 species